rnacentral:tRNA from 1 species
GGGGAUGUAGCUCAAAUGGUAGAGCGCUCGCUUAGCGUGCGAGAGGCACUGGGAUCGACGCCCAGCUUCUCCA